rnacentral:rRNA from 1 species
GACGAACGCUGGCGGCGUGCUUAACACAUGCAAGUCGAACGGAAAGGCCCUGCCUUUGUGGGGUGCUCGAGUGGCGAACGGGUGAGUAACACGUGAGUAACCUGCCCUUGACUUUGGGAUAACUUCAGGAAACUGGGGCUAAUACCGGAUAGGAGCUCCUGCUGCAUGGUGGGGGUUGGAAAGUUUCGGCGGUUGGGGAUGGACUGGCGGCUUAUCAGCUUGUUGGUGAGGUAGUGGCUUACCAAGGCUUUGACGGGUAGCCGGCCUGAGAGGGUGACCGGCCACAUUGGGACUGCGGUACGGCCCAGACUCCUACGGGAGGCAGCAGUGGGGAGUAUUGCGCAAUGGGCCGAAGCCUGAUGCAGCAACGCCGCGUGCGGGAUGACGGCCUUCGGGUUGUAAACCGCUUUCGCCGGUGACGAAGCGUGAGUGACGGUAAUGGGUAAAGAAGCACCGGCUAACUACGUG